rnacentral:rRNA from 1 species
GGACUACUGGGGUAUCUAAUCCUGUUUGCUCCCCUAGCUUUCGCAGCUGAGCGUCAGUAAUAGUCCAGGUACCUGCUUUCGCCAUUGGUGUUCCUCCCGAUCUCUGCGCAUUUCACCGCUACACCGGGAAUUCCAGUACCCUCUCCUAUACUCAAGCUCGGCAGUAUCUGUUGGCCUCUCCCCGUUAAGCAAGGAGCUUUCACAACAGACUAACCGAACCGCCUACCUGCCCUUUACGCCUAGUAAUUCCGAGUAACGCUUGCCACCUUCGUAUUACCGCGGCUGCUGGCAC